UAGGGAAUCUUCCACAAAUGGGCGAAGCNGAUGGAGCAACGCCGCGUGUGUGAUGAAGGGUUUCGGCUCGUAAAACACUGUUGUAAGAGAAGAAUGACAUUGAGAGUAACUGUUCAAUGUGUGACGGUAUCUUACCAGAAAGGAACGGCUAAAUACGUGCCA
rnacentral:rRNA from 1 species